rnacentral:ncRNA from 2 species
GCGCGUUCUCAGGGCGGGGUGAAAUUCCCCACCGGCGGUAACGGCGCACGCGCCGAAGCCCGCGAGCGCCACCUUCGUCACUGGAGGUGGGUCAGCAGAUUUGGUGCAACUCCAGAGCCGACGGUCAUAGUCCGGAUGGAAGAGAGCGACA